AGAUGGUUUGACCUCGGAUCAGGUAGGGUUACCCGCUGAACUUAAGCAUAUCA
rnacentral:rRNA from 1 species